ACUCAAAUGAAUUGACGGGGAAACGCACAACCAGGGGAGCAUGUGGUUUAAUUCGAUACAAAGCGUAAAACCUUACCUGGGUUUGACAUUCUGAUGAUCGGUUGUAGAAAUAUGACCUUUUCGCAAGAACAUCAGUAACAGUUGCUGCAUGGCUGUCGUCAGCUCGUACCGUGAGGCGUCGCCUUAAGUGGCGCAACGAGCGCAACCCCCAUCGUAUGUUGAAUAUCAUACGAGACUGCCUCGCUCUAAGCGGGGAGGAAGGAGGGGAUGAUGUCAAGUCAGCACGGCACUUACAUCCAGGGCAACACACAUCCUACAAUGGUGGGGAACAGCGGGUCGCGAAACCGUAAGGUGGAGCUAAUCCUACAAAUCCCCCCUCAGUUCAGAUCGUGGGCUGCAACUCGCCCGCGUGAAGUCGGACUUGGUAGUAAUCGCAGGUCAGCAGACUGCGGUGAAUACGUUCCCGUUUCUUGUACACACCGCCCGU
rnacentral:rRNA from 1 species